CGCGUAGGCGGCGCUGCAAGUCAGGCGUGAAAUUCCUGGGCUUAACCUGGGGGCUGCGCUUGAGACUGUGGUGCUAGAGGAUGGAAGAGGGUCGUGGAAUUCCCAGUGUAGAGGUGAAAUUCGUAGAUAUUGGGAAGAACACCGGUGGCGAAGGCGGCGACCUGGUCCAUUACUGACGCUGAGGCGCGACAGCGUGGGGAGCAAACAGGAUUAGAUACCCCUGUA
rnacentral:rRNA from 1 species